UUCAAUGUUGAUUGCAAGCCAUACAGGACAUACACAUCUAAUGGGACUUUUUGACCUGCUCCAGAACAACAUAUGGAAACCUUCACUGAAAACCAACAGCCAAGACUGCAUCAAUAAAAGUGCUUGGAAAGGCAUAGCCUCCUCCCAUGAAGAACAGUCCAAAAUAGACUUUGUCCAAAGAUAACAGCUUGUGGUCCCAGAACUGG